rnacentral:lncRNA from 1 species
UUUAAGGGGUGUAAAAAUGUUUAUGAGAUUAGUUAAGAGUCCAUUCUAUAACCAAUGUUAAAAAAGUAGAUAAAAUUAAAAAAAAAUAAGUUGGUGGGCGUAGGCUUAUCCUCCAUUUCCAUUGUUUCAUCCUCGGAUGGGCAUCAUCCAAGGACUAUGACGUAGCGCCUACGUGAAGGGUCAUCCUCCAAGGAUGAGGUCAUCCUCCAAGGAUGAGUCUCUCCCAUACCGCAUAGCCUGAUAAAAAUGCACUUCCAAAAUUGCCCCGUAUCCAACCAAUACAACUUCCUAGUAAACUCGUUAAACACAUAUUAAGUGUAUAAACUCAAGAGUCAAAACACCUAGAAUAAACUAAUAUAC